CAUUUACAAAAACAAACUGAUGUGACAUAAAAUAAAAACAGAAUAACGGACAUAGGUCAAAGAUCUACACGGUGGGCACGGUCACUUCCAGAAAAAUGGGGGAUCCUCAAAAUGGCAAAAACAUGCCAGAAAUAUUUAAAUGUAGGAAUGCCAGCUGUUACUGAACUGCAACUCCCAUAACUCUGUGGCACACAGCUAUUGUAUUUCCCGCUAACAACUGAAAGUUCACUGUGUGAAUAUGAAGGUUCUCUAAGAAUCAUGGGAAAUGUAGUUUAAUAACAUUUGGAAUAACUGGUAUGGCAGUCACUGAUUUUAGGACAACGACCAUAAACAUGAAAAACGUUUCGAUUCAAGGAUUACUACAUAUGCAUUAAUCUCAGCAACUACACGUCAUAUUUCCAAACCAUCACGAAAAAUCCUGAAUGGGGCAUUGGGCUUUCUUAAAAAGCACUCUAUUAUAAAAGGGGAACUGACUGUCAUUUAGAAAUUGCACCACUGUAGGAAACAUUGAACAGCACAUGUGAUUUGUGUUACAUCUGUUUUCCAUGGACUGCUCCAUUUUCUUUUCAAUUCAUAUUAAAAUCAAAUUACAUCACAAUCCAGUUCCGUCCAGGCACGGUAAACAUUACAAAUGAAGAGAAGAAAUACUCUACUCCUCUUCCUUGUAUGCUCUCUCUGUGUGGACUGCCAGGUGUAAAGGGCGGAGCUUAUAACAAUGACUGACAGGGAGCUAAGAUGGAGGCGGCUGCCAGGUGUAAAGGGCGGAGCUUAUAACAAU
rnacentral:lncRNA from 1 species